rnacentral:rRNA from 1 species
GACGAACGCUGGCGGCGUGCCUAAUACAUGCAAGUCGAACGAGAGCGCCCGGUGCUUGCACUGGUCCAUCUAGUGGCGAACGGGUGAGUAACACGUGGGUAACCUGCCCAUCAGAGGGGGAUAACAUCCGGAAACGGAUGCUAAAACCGCAUAGGUCUUCGAGCCGCAUGGCUCGAAGAGGAAAAGAGGCGCACGCUUCUGCUGAUGGAUGGACCCGCGGUGCAUUAGCUAGUUGGUGAGGUAACGGCUCACCAAGGCCGGGAUGCAUAGCCGGCCUGAGAGGGUGAUCGGCCACAUUGGGACUGAGACACGGCCCAAACUCCUACGGGAGGCAGCAGUAGGGAAUCUUCCGCAAUGGACGCAAGUCUGACGGAGCAACGCCGCGUGAGUGAAGAAGGUUUUCGGAUCGUAAAACUCUGUUGUUAGGGAAGAACAAGUGCUAGAGUAACUGUUAGCGCCUUGACGGUAUCUAACCAGAAAGCCACGGCUAACUACGUG